GAUGAAGAACGUAGCGAAAUGCGAUAAGUAAUGUGAAUUGCAGAAUCCAGUGAAUCAUCGAAUCUUUGAACGCACAUUGCGCCCGCCAGCAUUCUGGCGGGCAUGCCUGUUCGAGCGUCAUUUCAACCCUCGACCUCCCUUUGGGGAAGUCGGCGUUGGGGACCGGCAGCACACCGCCGGCCCUGAAAUGGAGUGGCGGCCCGUCCGCGGCGACCUCUGCGUAGUAAUCCAACUCGCACCGGAACCCCGACGCGGCCACGCCGUAAAACACCCAACUUCUGAACGUUGACCUCGAUUCAGGUAGGACUACCCGCUGAACUUAAGCAUAUCAAUAAGCGGAGGA
rnacentral:misc_RNA from 1 species